rnacentral:rRNA from 1 species
GGGCGCUGGAGAAUUGAGGGGGGCUGCUCCUAGUACGAGAGGACCGGAGUGGACGCAUCACUGGUGUUCGGGUUGUCAUGCCAAUGGCACUGCCCGGUAGCUAAAUGCGGAAGAGAUAAGUGCUGAAAGCAUCUAAGCACGAAACUUGCCCCGAGAUGAGUUCUCCCUGAGACUUUAAGUCUCCUGAAGGAACGUUAAAGACGAUGACGUUGAUAGGCCGGGUGUGUAAGCGCAGCGAUGCGUUGAGCUAACCGGUACUAAUGAACCGUGAGGCUUAACCUUACAACGCCGAAG